rnacentral:rRNA from 1 species
GUGGGGAAUCUUGCGCAAUGGGCGAAAGCCUGACGCAGCCAUGCCGCGUGAAUGAUGAAGGUCUUAGGAUUGUAAAAUUCUUUCACCGGGGACGAUAAUGACGGUACCCGGAGAAGAAGCCCCGGCUAACUUCGUGCCAGCAGCCGCGGUAAUACGAGGGGGGCUAGCGUUGCUCGGAUUUACUGGGCGUAAAGGGCGCGUAGGCGGACAUUUAAGUCAGGGGUGAAAUCCCGGGGCUCAACCUCGGAACUGCCUUUGAUACUGGGUGUCUUGAGUAUGAGAGAGGUGUGUGGAACUCCGAGUGUAGAGGUGAAAUUCGUAGAUAUUCGGAAGAACACCAGUGGCGAAGGCGACACACUGGCUCAUUACUGACGCUGAGGCGCGAAAGCGUGGGGAGCAAACAGGAUUAGAAACCCCAGUAGUCC